rnacentral:rRNA from 1 species
AGGGCAUUCGGUGGAUGCCUUGGCGCUGAGAGGCGAUGAAGGACGUGGUACGCUGCGAUAAGCCGUGGGGAGUUGCGAACAGACUUUGAUCCGCGGAUUUCCGAAUGGGGCAACCCACCUUAGAUGACGGGAUCUUCGAUGCCGGCCCAUGUGGCCGGUUUCGGAUAUCUCGUUAUCGCUGAAAGGUAUCGUAUCCUGAAUUCAUAGGGAUAUGAAGCGAACCCAGGGAACUGAAACAUCUAAGUACCUGGAGGAAAGGACAUCAAACGAGACUCCGCUAGUAGUGGCGAGCGAACGCGGAUCAGGCCAGUGCUCUGUCAAAAGCAAGCGGAACUGCCUGGAAAGGCAGGCCAUAGAGGGUGAUAGCCCCUUACGCGUAAGGAUAGACAGAGCCUCGAGUAAGGCGGGACACGUGCAAUCCUGUCUGAACAUGGGGGGACCACCCUCCAAGCCUAAGUACUCCUCAGCGACCGAUAGCGAACAAGUACCGUGAGGGAAAGGUGAAAAGAACCCCGACAAGGGGAGUGAAACAGUUCCUGAAACCGGAUGCCUACAAACAGUCGGAGCCCGAAAGGGUGACGGCGUACCUUUUGUAUAAUGGGUCAGCGACUUAAUCUGGCAAGCAAGCUUAAGCCGAUAGGCGUAGGCGCAGCGAAAGCGAGUCUGAACAGGGCGAACGAGUUUGUCGGAUUAGACCCGAAACCAGUCGAUCUAGCCAUGGACAGGCUGAAGGUGCGGUAACACGCACUGGAGGGCCGAACCGGUGUCUGUUGAAAAAGCCUCGGAUGAUCUGUGGUUAGGGGUGAAAGGCUAAUCAAGGCUGGAGAUAGCUGGUUCUCCGCGAAAGCUAUUGAGGUAGCGCCUCACGUGAAUACUCCAGGGGGUAGAGCACUGGAUGGGCUAGGGGUCCAUAACGGAUUACCAAACCUAACCAAACUCCGAAUACCUGGAAGUACUGCGUGGGAGACACACGGCGGGUGCUAACAUCCGUCGUGAAGAGGGAAACAACCCUGACCGCCAGCUAAGGUCCCCAAAUCGUGGCUAAGUUGGAAAGGAUGUGAGGAUCCCAAAACAACCAGGAGGUUGGCUUAGAAGCAGCCAUCCUUUAAAGAAAGCGUAACAGCUCACUGGUCUAAACAAGGGUCUUUGCGCCGAAAAUGUAACGGGGAUCAAGCCACGUACCGAAGCUGCGGGUGUGCGAAAGCACGCGGUAGCGGAGCGUUCCGUAAGCCAGUGAAGGACGACCCGUGAGGGCGUCUGGAGGUAUCGGAAGAGCGAAUGCUGACAUGAGUAACGAAAACAGUGUGAGAAACACUGUCGCCGAAAGUCCAAGGGUUCCUGCGUAAAGCUAAUCUGCGCAGGGUUAGCCGGCCCCUAAGGCGAGGCAGAAAUGCGUAGUCGAUGGGAACCACGUUAAUAUUCGUGGGCCAGCGGGUGGUGACGAAUCCAAAUCGUAGUUCGGGAUUAUCGGAUUUCCCGGGCUGCCGGAGGGUUCCAGGAAAUAGCCCCCGCAUCAGACCGUACCCGAAACCGACACAGGUGGACUGGUAGAGCAUACCAAGGCGCUUGAGAGAACGAUGCUGAAGGAACUCGGCAAAUUGCCCUCGUAACUUCGGGAGAAGAGGGCCCCGUGUGCGGGCAACCGUGCGCGGGGGGCACAGACCAGGGGGUGGCGACUGUUUAACAAAAACACAGGGCUCUGCGAAGCCGCAAGGCGACGUAUAGGGUCUGACGCCUGCCCGGUGCCGGAAGGUUAAGAGGAGGGGUGCAAGCUCCGAAUCGAAGCCCCGGUAAACGGCGGCCGUAACUAUAACGGUCCUAAGGUAGCGAAAUUCCUUGUCGGGUAAGUUCCGACCUGCACGAAUGGCGUAACGACUUCCCCACUGUCUCCAGCAUCGGCUCAGUGAAAUUGAAUUCCCCGUGAAGAUGCGGGGUUCCUGCGGUUAGACGGAAAGACCCCGUGCACCUUUACUAUAGCUUUACACUGGCAUUCGUGUCGGCAUGUGUAGGAUAGGUGGUAGGCUUUGAAGCGGAGGCGCCAGCCUUCGUGGAGCCGCCCUUGAAAUACCACCCUUAUCGUCAUGGAUGUCUAACUGCGGCCCGUCAUCCGGGUCCAGGACAGUGUAUGGUGGGUAGUUUGACUGGGGCGGUCGCCUCCCAAAGAGUAACGGAGGCGCGCGAUGGUGGGCUCAGGCUGGUCGGAAAUCAGCCGUUGAGUGCAAUGGCAUAAGCCCGCCUGACUGCGAGACACACAUGUCGAGCAGAGACGAAAGUCGGUCAUAGUGAUCCGGUGGUCCCACGUGAGGAGGGCCAUCGCUCAACGGAUAAAAGGUACGCCGGGGAUAACAGGCUGAU